ACUCCCCUUCUCUCUCUCUCUCUCUCUCUCUAUUCUCUCUCUCUGGCUGCUUCAAACGGUCUCUCUCUCUCUCUCUCUCUCUCUCUUCUCUCUCUCUCUGUCUGUGUUGUUUUCUUUUCUCUCUCCUCUGGUCUGUCUGUCUCUCUAUCUCUAUCUUCUCCCAUCUCUAUCUCUCUCUAUAGAGAUUAGAAUGACGGAAAUACCCAUGCGUGUUCUCGCAAAUUUCCGUUUUUUGAAUCCAGUGCUGUCUCUCUCUCUCUCUCUCUUGCUUUCUCUCUCAUCAUUGCUGUUGUUUUUGGACAAAUUCUUUUAGUUGUGUUUGAUUAUCCAAAUGUAAGACCAAAUGGACAAACCACCAAAUCCGGUGUUUG
rnacentral:lncRNA from 1 species